GCGAAAAGAAGCAAACCACUGUAAGUUAAUCUCACAAGUCAUUCAGGAGCCAUUCAAUUAGUGCACUCUAUAAUUAACAGCUUACAAAACUUUCUAUGAUCUACUAAAUAAGGAGCUCGUCACACCAAAAACCAGUUUCAGUGAGUUUGGCUGGGACACAUUGGGAAGGCUCAGCUGCCAAACGUUUCCUGGAGGGCUGAGGAUCUACUUUUUGCUUUGUAUGUGGCAUGGGCUGUCUUCUCCUUUCUGCACACUGGGUUUGUAUCUGACACAAACCAGCAAAGGACAUCUCUUGUUGAGCUUUGCAGCAGAAAACCUGCCAUCAUGGGCAAUGGCAGGCAAGUUCUGUACUUAUUAAGUAAUCAUUAUACUGGCACUGGUUGCCAACGUGGUAGUUCCUUCCAGAAAAUCAAAGCAGGAAAAAUUGAACACUGCAAUCCUUUCACCUAAAUAUUUGAUCAAAAGGCAUUUGGUCUAUUCUGCUCCAUCUUGUUUUGGCUAAAUUUGGACUACUUCUCCAGGACACUUGUUAGUGCUGCUGUCUGAGUGCGUGCCCCAAGGAGGCAUGGGUCCUACAGUGGAGCAACGACAUGAUUUCAAACUGAAAUGUGCCCCAGGUCCUUCUCUUAUCUCAUACAUGAAAUGGAGGUAACAAAACUAAUCUUCGCACCUAGCGUAGGCUCUAGUGAUUUACAAUUGUGAAACGCUUUAAGAUCACUGGCUGAAAAACAGCCUCUGAAGAUGUCUUACUGUCUUGUAGUUCUUGUUAUUACUUCAAGAAAACACAACCUCUAAAACAAAUGUUCCAAAUCACUUUGAAAUAUCACAAGGCACAAGUUCCUGUUUCGGUUAGAAUAAACUAUUGUUCACAAAAGAUAGCUUUGCUGCAACAGUAGCUCAUUAUAACUGAAUGCAUUAGCUCCUUCCACACACAACUCCCUUUUCCCUUACAGGUCUAAUUACUUAACCAGGCCAGCUCUGCAUCCUUGUCAGGACAAUUAACUAGACCAAGCUAUAGCUGUAUUCUUGGCAAUGAUGAUGUAAAUACAGAGUAACCCCUUAAUACCCCUUAUACCAGCAGUCAGCCCACUGAAUCGGGAAAUCAUCUUUCUGUGGACAGCUGUUAGUGAGAAUGGCUCUUUAUUUAGCGUGUCCAUGACCUGUUCAGAGUGGUUAACAUCAACAGCAGCUGUAACCAUUUGCAGAUAAUGUUACAUAAGCACAUUUUCCGCUUCUUGACAGCAAUGUUUCUGUUCCUGUACCAAAUUUCAUGGCUGGAGUUUUUAUCAUGUUAUCUUCUUUGUUGAGCUACAGCUUUUGUAAGACAUUAGCUUGGUAUAAUUCAGUAAGUUGCUCUUCUUUUUUUAAUUAUUUUUUUUCUUUGACAGAGGGUUAUAGCUAAAUAUAGUGGAUGCGGUCACCCAGAGACGAAGAAAGCAAGAGUAUAUGCCAAGAAAAGACUAACUGAAAAAUAAACACAAACCUUAUAUGCAGAAAAUACACAGUGUAUUUGCUCUGAACCAAACACAACAACCUUCUGCCAGCUGAUGUGGCCCUUCCAGGAGCUAUAAGGAUGUGCUGUGGUUGUUAGGGGUGAUCUAAAUUCUGCUCUCAAGAGGAAGAAGUACCCACAAAAGAAACCUGUAUCAAUAAAAAGUACUGAAACCUCUUCACAUAACUGUGUGGUCUUUUACUCUGGUUACCCACAUACAUCCUGUGAAAUCAAAAUGAUUUUGAAUAGACCAAGUACAAUUGCAGUAAUGAAAGAAAAGGAGAGAAGUGGAAAUAGCUGCUUGUAGCCACCAACCUCAACUGAACAGCCUGUAAAAGAGGCUCUUUGGAUCGAUAUUUUCAUUCUAACCACCAGUUUGAAGGCGCUGCUCAUGUAUUUAUUCUGUCCCUUCUUAAUCCCAGCCACCUACUCACUGUACCCAAGCUGCUGUCAUUGUCAUUUGCAGCAGAUGCAGCAGUCACAGGCCUCACCCUGCUCGUGACCGCAGCAGUACUGCUUCAGAGCCAGCACCUAGCCAACUGCAAUAAACUUGACAUUGAGGCUCUGGCCUGACAUAUUCAUGUUCUCCAUCCCCACUGUCCCUCUAGCUGUGCUCCGCUGUGCCAAGUCCUAGUUAGCUUAAGCUGGUUCUUUCUCAUUUAAGGCUUCAUUGGAUUUUUGAGUUGUGUCAGCUUCAAUUAAUCAGAACAAAAAUAGAUAUGUAGCACAUUAAAUGAGAAGCUAACAGAGGUGU